rnacentral:rRNA from 1 species
UACGUAGGGGGCUAGCGUUGUCCGGAAUCAUUGGGCGUAAAGAGCGUGUAGGCGGUCCGGUAAGUCCGCUGUGAAAGUCAAAGGCUCAACCUUGGAAAGCCGGUGGAUACUGCAUGGCUAGAGUACGGAAGAGGCGAGUGGAAUUCCUGGUGUAGCGGUGGAAUGCGCAGAUAUCAGGAGGAACACCAAUAGCGAAGGCAGCUCGCUGGGACGUUACUGACACUGAGGCGCGAAAGCGUGGGGAGCGAACAGG